GAUGAACGCUGGCGGCGUGCCUAAUACAUGCAAGUCGAACGAAACUUCUUUAUCACCUAGUGCUUGCUCUCACCGAUAAAGAGUUGAGUGGCGAACGGGUGAGUAACACGUGGGCAACCUGCCCAAAAGAGGGGGAUAACACUUGGAAACAGGUGCUAAUACCGCAUAACCAUAGUUACCGCAUGGUAACUAUGUAAAAGGUGGCUAUACUACCGCUUUUGGAUGGGCCCGCGGCGCAUUAGCUAGUUGGUAGGGUAAAGGCUUACCAAGGCAAUGAUGCGUAGCCGAAUUGAGAGGUUGAUCGGCCACAUUGGGACUGAGACACGGCCCAAACUCCUACGGGAGGCAGCAGUAGGGAAUCUUCCACAAUGGGCGAAAGCCUGAUGGAGCAACGCCGCGUGGGUGAAGAAGGUCUUCGGAUCGUAAAACCCUGUUGUUAGAGAAGAAAGUGCGUGAGAGUAACUGUUCACGUUUCGACGGUAUCUAACCAGAAAGCCACGGCUAACUACGUG
rnacentral:rRNA from 1 species